rnacentral:rRNA from 1 species
CCUACGGGUGGCUGCAGUGAGGAAUAUUGGUCAAUGGCCGGAAGGCUGAACCAGCCAAGCCGCGUGAAGGACGAAGGUGUCAAGCAUUGUACACCUCUUUUGUCAAGGGAAAAAAUCAGGCUCGAGAGCCUGGCCGAGUGUACUUGAAGAAAAAGCAUCGGCUAACUCCGUGCCAGCAGCCGCGGUAAUACGGAGGAUGCGAGCGUUAUCCGGAUUUAUUGGGUUUAAAGGGAGCGUAGGUGGGUUGUUAAGUCAGUUGUGAAAGUUCGCGGUUCAACCGUAGAAUGGCAGUUGAAACUGGCAGUCUUGAGUACAGUAGAGGUGGGCGGAAUUCGUGGUGUAGCGGUGAAAUGCAUAGAUAUCACGAAGAACUCCGAUUGCGAAGGCAGUAUACUGGCCUGAAACUGACACUGAGGCUCGAAAGUGUGGGUAUCAAACAGGAUUAGAUACCCGGGUAGUC